rnacentral:rRNA from 1 species
UACGUAGGGGGCAAGCGUUGUCCGGAAUCAUUGGGCGUAAAGAGCGUGUAGGCGGCCCGGUAAGUCCGCUGUGAAAGUCCAGGGCUCAACCCUGGGAUGCCGGUGGAUACUGUCGGGCUCGAGUCCGGAAGAGGAGUGUGGAAUUCCUGGUGUAGCGGUGAAAUGCGCAGAUAUCAGGAGGAACACCAAUGGCGAAGGCGACACGCUGGGCCGUACCUGACGCUAAAGCGCGACAGCAUGGGGAGCAAACGGG